AUAAAAAAAUUAACAGCAAGAAGAAAAUGAAUAUCACAAAACGUUAUGUAGU
rnacentral:sRNA from 1 species